CCAUCAUCUCUCUUGACACAAAGAUGACUAACUCAAGUGAACAUCUUUUAUGCAUAUGAUUUUUCUUGAUGAAAGGGGUGACUCAAUUCAUGCAACUGUUAGGAAAAAUUUGAUCUCCCAAUUUAAGGAUCAACUUGAAGAAGGAUGUGCUUAUGUUUUUGAAAAAUUUAUGGUUGCUUGAAACCAAUGACAAGAGAAAAAAGAAUCUUCCCUAUUUUUUGAACAUAUUGGAUUAGCAUGAAAUCAAUGAAAAGAGAGUCAUGCAUACUUUUCAAGAUGGAAACCUAUGAGUUUGAGUU